rnacentral:rRNA from 1 species
GGUUAAGUGAAUAAGGGCGCACGGUGGAUGCCUUGGCACUAGGAGCCGAUGAAGGACGGGACUAACACCGAUAUGCUUUGGGGAGCUGUAAGUAAGCUAUGAUCCAGAGAUUUCCGAAUGGGGGAACCCAAUAUCUUUUAUAGGAUAUUACUUUUCAGUGAAUACAUAGCUGAUUAGAGGUAGACGCAGAGAACUGAAACAUCUUAGUACCUGCAGGAAGAGAAAGAAAAUUCGAUUCCCUGAGUAGCGGCGAGCGAAACGGGAAGAGCCCAAACCAACAAGCUUGCUUGUUGGGGUUGUAGGACUCCAAUAUGGUAGUCUGUUAGUAUAGUUGAAGGAUUUGGAAAAUUCCGCUAAAGAGGGUGAAAGCCCCGUAGACGAAAUGCUGACAACACCUAGGAGGAUCCUGAGUACGGCGGAACACGAGAAAUUCCGUCGGAAUCCGCGGGGACCAUCCCGCAAGGCUAAAUACUCCCUAGUGACCGAUAGUGAACCAGUACCGUGAGGGAAAGGUGAAAAGCACCCCGGAAGGGGAGUGAAAUAGAUCCUGAAACCGUGUGCCUACAACAAGUCAAAGCUCGUUAAUGAGUGAUGGCGUGCCUUUUGUAGAAUGAACCGGCGAGUUACGAUUGCAUGCGAGGUUAAGUCGAAGAGACGGAGCCGCAGCGAAAGCGAGUCUGAAUAGGGCGAAUGAGUAUGUAGUCGUAGACCCGAAACCAUGUGAUCUACCCAUGUCCAGGUUGAAGGUGCGGUAAAACGCACUGGAGGACCGAACCCACGUACGUUGAAAAGUGCGGGGAUGAGGUGUGGGUAGCGGAGAAAUUCCAAACGAACUUGGAGAUAGCUGGUUCUCUCCGAAAUAGCUUUAGGGCUAGCCUCGGAAUUGAGAAUGAUGGAGGUAGAGCACUGUUUGGACUAGGGGCCCAUCUCCGUAGUCGAAAGGGAAACAGCCCAGACCACCAGCUAAGGUCCCAAAAUAUAUGUUAAGUGGAAAAGGAUGUGGGGUUGCACAGACAACUAGGAUGUUGGCUUAGAAGCAGCCACCAUUUAAAGAGUGCGUAAUAGCUCACUAGUCGAGUGACCCUGCGCCGAAAAUGUACCGGGGCUAAACAUAUUACCGAAGCUGUGGACUACACCAUUAGGUGUAGUGGUAGGAGAGCGUUCUAAGGGCGUUGAAGGUCGAUCGUGAGGACGGCUGGAGCGCUUAGAAGUGAGAAUGCCGGUAUGAGUAGCGAAAGACAGGUGAGAAUCCUGUCCACCGUAUGACUAAGGUUUCCUGGGGAAGGCUCGUCCGCCCAGGGUUAGUCGGGACCUAAGCCGAGGCCGAUAGGCGUAGGCGAUGGACAACAGGUUGAUAUUCCUGUACCAGUUGUUUUUGUUUGAACAAUGGAGGGACGCAGUAGGCUAAGGAAUGCAUGCGAUUGGAAGUGCAUGUCCAAGCAAUGAGUCUUGAGUAGAGUUAAAUGCUUUACUCUCUAAGGACAAGUUGUGACGGGGAGCGAAAUAAUAGUAGCGAAGUUCCUGAUGUCACACUGCCAAGAAAAGCUUCUAGUGAGAAAACAACUGCCCGUACCGUAAACCGACACAGGUAGUCGAGGAGAGUAUCCUAAGGUGAGCGAGCGAACUCUCGUUAAGGAACUCGGCAAAAUGACCCCGUAACUUCGGGAGAAGGGGUGCUGACUUCGGUCAGCCGCAGUGAAUAGGCCCAAGCGACUGUUUAUCAAAAACACAGGUCUCUGCAAAAUCGUAAGAUGAAGUAUAGGGGCUGACGCCUGCCCGGUGCUGGAAGGUUUUUGGGCACUGUCUCAACGAGAGACUCGGUGAAAUUUUAGUACCUGUGAAGAUGCAGGUUACCCGCGACAGGACGGAAAGACCCCAUGGAGCUUUACUGUAGUUUGAUAUUGAGUGUUUGUACCACAUGUACAGGAUAGGUAGGAGCCGAUGAGACCGGAACGCUAGUUUCGGAGGAGGCGCUGGUGGGAUACUACCCUUGUGUUAUGAACCCUCUAACCCGCACCACUAAUCGUGGUGGGAGACAGUGUCAGAUGGGCAGUUUGACUGGGGCGGUCGCCUCCUAAAAGGUAACGGAGGCGCCCAAAGGUUCCCUCAGAAUGGUUGGAAAUCAUUCGAAGAGUGUAAAGGCAGAAGGGAGCUUGACUGCGAGACCUACAAGUCGAGCAGGGACGAAAGUCGGGCUUAGUGAUCCGGUGGUUCCGCAUGGAAGGGCCAUCGCUCAACGGAUAAAAGCUACCCUGGGGAUAACAGGCUUAU